GUGCGUGAUACUUGUUGAUGUUGCAGUGAUUUGAAGCUUGAAGGAGAUUUAGAUGAGAGCGUGCAGGGGAAUCUGACUGCCUUAGGUUGUCUGGGGGAGGACUCUGAAUUCAACUCUUGCCCCUUGUCAAUUUGAUUGGGCUUCCUUCUUAUUGAAGCGAGAAAUUGCACCACAAAUUUGUUUACAGUUAACCAAUUGGUUUUGGUCUUCCAUAUACAAUGCUGCUUGUCUGCCAAUUAUUCCUAAAAGAAACAUGUUUGAUAUGCUUUAUGAACUUUUUGUGAAACAGCUAUACUCCAUAAACUGAUGUUUGUGUUUUUGUGGUUUUUCUGGGCCACUAGCGGGCUGACAGUGAGUUUGGCUUUUGGGGAUGACAACUGUAAAGAUUUAUAUAGUGUACUAUUCCUUAUACGGGCAUGUGGAGACUAUGGCACGAGAAGUGCAGCGAGGAGCAAAUACUGUUCAAGGUGUUGAAGCAACACUUUGGCAGGUACCCGAAACGCUCUCUGAUGUGAUAUUGCAAAAGAUGAAGGCCCCUAGUAAAGCAGAUGAUGUGGCAGAGAUCAGGCCAGAACAGCUUUUGGAGGCUGAUGGCUUCAUGUUCGGUUUUCCUUCUCGGUUUGGAGUCAUGGCAGCACAAUUUAAGGCCUUCUUUGAUGCCACUCACGAAAUAUGGGAGACUCAAGCACUAGCGGGCAAGCCUGCAGGAAUCUUCUGGAGCACCGGUUUUCAUGGAGGUGGCCAAGAGCUUACAGCAUUAACCGCUGUUACACAACUAGCGCAUCAUGGAAUGAUAUUUGUCCCUCUUGGAUACACGUUCGGUAGUGGCAUGUUCGAGAUGAACGAGGUCAAGGGCGGCUCUUCUUAUGGUGCUGGAACCUAUGCAGCCGAUGGGUCACGGGAACCCACGGAACUGGAACUUAAGCAGGCUUUUCACCAGGGUAAGUAUGUGGCUGAAAUAGCUAGGAAGCUCAAACGGCCAAACCCCCAGACCUAACGACAAAGCAAGUAGUUUGUACAUAUGAAUGGUGGAAACUAUUUCCAAAAUUCGAGUAUAAGUAUAGUUGAUAUAAGCUGGUAACUGUGACAUUUCAUUUGGAUUCAAGUACAAGACCUGCCAUUUUGUCCCUUACGUGGGUACGGACGUGGCGGUAAAGUCUGCCGGAAAAGAAGCAUGUGAUGAAGGGGAUUUCAGAAAUGUUGUUUUGAAUGUACAAGAUGUGAAGAAACAGCUUUACUACUUACCUUUUAUCGAUGUUCUGCCCUUUCGUAGUUCUGGAUCAGAAACAUGAUUAAGUAGUCUCAUAGUUGUUUGAUUGAAUGGUCAGUCGGGAUAAUUGAUUUAGGAACAGUUCCUGGUU